AACUUAGCAGAGAUGCUUUGUGCCUUCGGGAACUCUGAGACAGGUGCUGCAUGGCUGUCGUCAGCUCGUGUUGUGAAAUGUUGGGUUAAGUCCCGCAACGAGCGCAACCCUUAUCCUUUGUUGCCAGCGGCUCGGCCGGGAACUCAAAGGAGACUGCCGGUGAUAAACCGGAGGAAGGUGGGGAUGACGUCAAGUCAUCAUGGCCCUUACGGCCAGGGCUACACACGUGCUACAAUGGCGCAUACAAAGAGAAGCGACCUCGCGAGAGCAAGCGGACCUCAUAAAGUGCGUCGUAGUCCGGAUUGGAGUCUGCAACUCGACUCCAUGAAGUCGGAAUCGCUAGUAAUCGUAGAUCAGAAUGCUACGGUGAAUACGUUCCCGGGCCUUGUACACACCGCCCGUCACACCAUGGGAGUGGGUUGCAAAAGAAGUAGGUAGCUUAACCUUCGGGAGGGCGCUUACCACUUUGUGAUUCAUGACUGGGGUGAAGUCGUAACAAGGUAAGCGUAGCGAG
rnacentral:rRNA from 1 species